UAGGGAAUCUUCGGCAAUGGACGAAAGUCUGACCGAGCAACGCCGCGUGAGUGAAGAAGGUUUUCGGAUCGUAAAACUCUGUUGUUAGAGAAGAACAAGGACGUUAGUAACUGAACGUCCCCUGACGGUAUCUAACCAGAAAGCCACGGCUAACUACGUGCCAGCAGCCGCGGUAAUACGUAGGUGGCAAGCGUUGUCCGGAUUUAUUGGGCGUAAAGCGAGCGCAGGCGGUUUCUUAAGUCUGAUGUGAAAGCCCCCGGCUCAACCGGGGAGGGUCAUUGGAAACUGGGAGACUUGAGUGCAGAAGAGGAGAGUGGAAUUCCAUGUGUAGCAGUGAAAUGCGUAGAUAUAUGGAGGAACACCAGUGGCGAAGGCGGCUCUCUGGUCUGUAACUGACGCUGAGGAUAGAAAGCGUGGGGAGCAAACAGG
rnacentral:rRNA from 1 species